GGUAUUGAAAUAAGAUUUUAAAUGAGUGCUAAGAGAAUGAUUAAACAAUUAAAAACUUUCUUUAAUUAAAUAAUUAAAUUUAAUUUUUUUUGUGCAAAAGCAAAAAUAAAAUUUAGGGACAAGAAGACCCUAUGAAUUUUUAUUAUUAAUAUUUUGUAAUUAAAUUAUUAAUAAUUUAAUUGGGGUGAUAAAAAAAGAAUAAGUAUCUUUUUAAAUUAUAAAAUAAGUUCCGUUUUUAGCGAUUAAAUGAAAAAAAUACUCUAGGGAUAACAGCGUAAUAAUUUUGGAUAGUUCAUAUAGAUAAAAUAGUUUGCGACCUCGAUGUUGGAUUAGGAUUCUUUUUUGGUGAAGAA
rnacentral:rRNA from 1 species